UCCUCUCGCCAUUCCUUAUCCCCGAGCAGGAGAAGACCUCAGGGCCCUCUCCUCGCUUUAUAAGAGGACCCUCGACGCCUCCAUUCUGGAGAAAAGAGAGAAGAAAAAAGAGAAAGGAAGCCUACCCAAAUCCUUCUCUUCCCUUCCCCACUCUCCUCCCUAGUCUCUUCUCUAGAGUUUCCUUCAGAAUUGAUGGAAAAUUCAGGGACCCAUCCCUCGAUUCUUGGCAGCGUCCGUUGGCUCCCCUCCUCCUGAAGGAGAUUAGAGAGACAGAGAGAUGGGUAUGAGUGGCCGCUGCGCCCAGGCCUCUUCUCAUGGCUCCGUUAUGAUGGUCACCAGCUUCUUCCGACAUAAGUACUAGAGCUCAAGCGGCGAAGGUAUCUGGGGGCGGCGGAAUCAUGCCCGUCGGAUCUCGUCAAGAACACCGGGGAAGAGGUGGUAUGGUGUAAGAUUUCUUGAAGGUUGUAAGGAAAAAAGCUUUCUUUUUUUCUCGGGUAAAAGAAAAGAGAGAGAGAGAGAGAGAGAGAGAGAGAGAGAGAGAGAGAGA
rnacentral:lncRNA from 1 species